AUUUUUUUUCUGUCUUUUUAUUUUCUUUGCUGCUUUCUGUUUUAUUAGUAGCAUUUCUUUUGAUUACCACUUUUUUCUUUUCUGGCUUAAUCAUUACAUAUUCUAUUUUUUUAAUAAUUGGUUAAUAUUUUAGUGUUUUAAUGUCAUAUUAUUCCUAAGUUAUAAAUUUAACCAAUUUCUUUUACAUCUCCUCAACAGGACAAGGACUAGUUUUAUUUGGUCACCAGUGCUUUUUCAUGGUUUCUUUCUUAUUUGGUCUGAGGUUUCUCUUUGUUGAAAGUGACUAUAAGCUAAGAGAGCUAACGUUUAAGAGACCCCUGACUGGAGAAGAAAGUUAGGUUCAGGUGUGUGUGUCAGGUGAGACACAUGAGAAAGUAAAACCAAAAUGCAUAAAAUAGAAGAAACCUAGAGAGGUUAGGAGCACCAAUGGAAGUUGAGAGAUGACCAGGAGCUCAACCAGCAGGUGGGGAACAAGAGAAAGAGAGAGAAUGUAGGACUAUGCCUUUGUUAAGGUCUAGGGGUGCUUUCCCUUAGGCUUUCAUAGGGAGAUAUGGAUUGGAGUUCAAAGAAAACAUUUGCAAAGAUUAGAACUUAUUUACAUGACUUGAGUGUUGAACAUUAGGUUUUAUCAUGAUCAGCAGAUGUGGGAUGUGUGGGGUUUUGGGUCAGUGAAAUAAAAAACAGGCAGGUUAGAUUGUUUAAAAAAAAUGUGCAGGGAUGGGAAAUUUUAACCGGGCCAAAGGUGAUAGAAUACAACUAGGAUUCAACUUAUGUCAGGACUAAAAUUGGAUGCCAAGGUGGCGACUAAAUUAAACAAAUUUGCGGUAACAUUACUCCUCUAAGAAUGGCGGAAUAUUUGAGAAAGCUCUGACAUGAGAAAGAGAGAAAAAGAAACUAGAAAAUAAAAGCAACCUGGAGGAAACAGAAAACAUGCACAAAUUUGCCCAAACUUCAAUAUCCUUAGAGAGAUAAAAGUAGAUAUUGCUUUCAUAAAUAAGAAUGAGAUGCUAGAUAUGAAGAAUACAAGAGAACAAGAAGAAUGCCUUUGAAAUAAAAAAAUAGUAAAAAUUUCAAAAACCAUAAUAAAACAUUGGAAGUUAAAAUCAGGGAAAUAUUCAAGAAGAUAAAAUGAUCAAGAGGUUGAAAAUGAGAAAGAAAAAGUUAGAGGCUUGGAGUAUCAAUCCAUGGUUAUAAUAUCUGAUUAACAGUAGUUCCAGGAUAUGAGAAUAGAGGGAAUGGAGGGGAGGAAAUUAUAAAAGAAAGAAAACCUUCAAGAAAGAUUUCUGGAAUUAAGGAGUAUAUCUCUAGAUUAGUGACUCUUUAGCAUAUAUCAUCAAAAUUACGUGCAGGACUUCUUCAAACACAGAUUUCUGGGCCCUACCACUAGAGUUUCUGAUUCAUUAGACCUAAGGUGGCACUCAAAAUCUUUUAUUUCUAACAAGUUCCUAGAUGACAACAAUGCUGCUGACCUAGCGAUUACAGUUUGAAAAUCACUGC
rnacentral:lncRNA from 1 species